AAGGUGACGACGGUGGUGUUUUUUUUGCUGCUAGGUUUUUGGAAUUUGUUAUCAAAAUACCUCUGAGAAACAUCCGGACCAGAUCCUGUCGGGUUGCUUUAUCGGCAUGCGAAAUACGGAAACUCCCUGCGCAUCUGCGAUAUUGACACACCGAGAGCGUUGUUCAGAUCCUGGGCUAGCCACUUUUGGUUCGAGAAUAAUCGAGUACGAGCAGUUCAUGCCGUGCACCAGCUGCUGGGAAAAUAUCGAUUGUUGUCGAAGUUGUCUAAACGAGGAGGAGGUUGGGGAUGGAGAGUGCAAGCUUUCGACCGAUGAGUAGGGAUUCCCGGAGCCGUUGCAGAAUGAAGCUUUAAGUCGUGCUGGGGAAGUUUUUGUGAAGGGACAUUGGCAGAUAAUGUGAACACGGUCGGUCGGAUCGGGUGAAAGCGACGACAUAAGGAAUUAGGAAGAGGAGGAAACGAUUGAGAAUUCGUCGAAGACGAUCGCUGCCAGACGCAGCCAAGGGAAGAACCCAGUCCGAAGGGGUCGUCGAACUACUAGUAGGUACAAGGAUGCUUACAUCCGGCGAAACUUCCUGGAGAUACAUCCCAGGAAAGUGUAAAUAAUCUUUCCGAAGGUGAGUGUUAUUGCGCAUUUCACACCCCACUAAUCUCUUUGGCAAG